UCUCUCGGAUUGACGGUAGGUGGAGAAGAAGCACCGGCCAACUACGUGCCAGCAGCCGCGGUAAUACGUAGGGUGCGAGCGUUGUCCGGAAUUACUGGGCGUAAAGAGCUCGUAGGUGGUUUGUCGCGUUGUUCGUGAAAUCUAACGGCUUAACUGUGAGCGUGCGGGCGAUACGGGCAGACUAGAGUACUGCAGGGGAGACUGGAAUUCCUGGUGUAGCGGUGGAAUGCGCAGAUAUCAGGAGGAACACCGGUGGCGAAGGCGGGUCUCUGGGCAGUAACUGACGCUGAGGAGCGAAAGCGUGGGGAGCGAACAGGAUUAGAUACCCUGGUAGUCCACGCCGUAAACGGUGGGUACUAGGUGUGGGUUUCCUUCCUU
rnacentral:rRNA from 1 species